UACGGAGGGUGCAAGCGUUAUCUGGAUUCACUGGGUUUAAAGGGUGCGUAGGUGGCUUUGUAAGUCAGUGGUGAAAUCUUAGAGCUUAACUCUAAAACUGCCAUUGAUACUGCUUAGCUUGAAUCAAGUAGAGGUGGAUGGAAUAUUACAUGUAGCGGUGAAAUGCUUAGAUAUGUAAUAGAACACCGAUUGCGAAGGCAGUUCACUAUGCUUGUAUUGACACUGAGGCACGAAAGCGUGGGGAUCAAACAGG
rnacentral:rRNA from 1 species